GCUACGCCCGGACGAAAUUCCCAGCUCGGCCGACAUUCGCGGGUCGGUGGGAUCUUCGUCCGUGUUUAUC
rnacentral:pre_miRNA from 1 species